rnacentral:lncRNA from 1 species
UCUAUUUAAUUAAUAAAAUUUGAAUUAUCUUAAUUCUGAAAUUGCACUCGGUAACUACCUUAGAUGUGUAUUGUUCCCUAGAAUUAUUUUAAGUGCUUGACGUAAGAAGGAUAAAUUCCAGGGCACUACAAGCGGCACUGCCUUCAACAUUUUUUCUUCAUGCCUUUCCUCGGAAUAGACCUCUCUUACGGAUGGAAGAGGUUGUUUGCACAGAAUUAUUUUAGAAUUCAACCCAGUCAAAAAUUGAAAGCUUUCAUUCUCCACAGCUUUCUGGUAAUGAGCAAAAUCCUCAACACACUUCUCCUCAUGUACAUAGAACAAACCAAGUUCUUCCCCCAGGGCACAUCCAAGUUGGCAGAACAAUUACAUUGGGGGGCUCUGGAACCAAGUGUGGGGAGUUCGAUUCCUGGUUGGAGCAGCCAAGUGAUGUAAUAACCAGAGGAAGGGUUGGAGCAGCUUGGUGAUGUAAUAACCAUGGAGGAGGGUCCCUUUGGGGAAGGAGUAAAAGCCAUGUGGGAACCUGGGAACCAACAAGGGCACAACCUGCGAUUUACCUCCACUAGUCACUGAGGGGCCGGGGGCUAGAGGUCCAGGAUUUAGUCCGGCUAAGCUGGGACACCUGGGUUAUCAAAAAAAAAAAAAAAAAAAAAAAAAAAAAAAAAAAAAAAAAAAAAAAAAAUUUUACAAAAAAAUGCCUUCAACAUUUUUUCUUCAUGCCUUUCCUCGGAAUAAACCUCUCUUAUGGAUGGAAGAGGUUGUUUGCACAGAAUUCUUUUAGAAUUCAACCCGGUCAAAAUUUUAAAGCUUUCAUUCUCCAAAGCUUUCUGGUAAUGAGCAAAGUCCUCAACACACUUCUCAUGUACAUAGAACAAACCAAGUUCUUGCCACAGACUUUUCAAGUUUUCAUGUAGCAGUUUGUGACAUUAUCUCCCAUUGCUUAGCUUCACUGAGUUUUAAGUGGAUUUCAGUGUUUUGGUGUGAAUUCUCCAAGCCCGAGCAUAUCUCAGAAACUCCGUCCACCUGUUUCUUUACAAUAGGUGGGCACAUUUCAUUUUGGCUUAUCGAAGGGUCCAUUUUGUUCACAAGCCAAGACAUUACCAUGGAAUUUUCUGCAUUCCAUGUAGAAAAAAGUAGGGUCCUCAUUCUUCAUUUGAAUAAUUUCUUGAGUAAGGUAUCGAAUCUUCCCACGGCCUCUGAUCUAGAUUCGCACAGAUUGAGACCAGUGUUAAAAGGGAUCAUAAACACGCAUUUAUAAAUAUUACUCUUUAUUAUCUGUACAUUUUGUGGGAUCAACUAUUAUUCCUCAUACUAUUUUUAUUUAUAU